UAAUAUUUGACAGAAAAAAUGUAUUAAAUUUAGAUUUUAAUUAU
rnacentral:tRNA from 1 species